rnacentral:rRNA from 1 species
UGAGCAAUCUGCCCUUCUCUUUGGAAUAAGCGUUGGAAACGACGUCUAAUGCCGAAUACGACCUCCUUUCGCAUGAUCGGAGGUGGAAAGCUCCGGCGGUCAAGGAUGAGCUCGCGGCCUAUCAGCUUGUUGGUGGGGUGAUGGCCUACCAAGGCGACGACGGGUAGCCGGCCUGAGAGGGCGACCGACCACACUGGGACUGAGACACGGCCCAGACUCCUACGGGAGGNAG